rnacentral:lncRNA from 1 species
GAAUAAAGACCACAUCCGGAGAAGUGAGUAAUCUCUAAGGCUUCAAACUCCUCCAGGACAUAGAGCGUCCUCAUGAUUCACAGGGAAUGUAGCACCAACUCCCAGGGGUCUAUGUGGGUAAAUCACUUCAUUUUUCUGAUUGUGUUAAUAUUCAACUGCCAGUGAGAAGGGUAAUUCUUUGGCUUCUCGAGGCUAUAGAGAACAUUUCUGGAAACCUACUCAUCCCCACUUAUUACCUUUCUCAAAAACCGUGCAGCUGACUUGAAUAUACUCUAUUGAAUUAUGUUUGGGAAGAGCGCUGAGAAAGCUGAACCGAUGAUCCUCCAAAGUCUGCUCGUCACCUGCUCAGAAUUUUCUCAGUUUGAUGGAACCUACAAGAAGAACUUUCCCUGAAGGUUUAAUUCAAGGCACUGUGGCUGGUGAAGGGUGAGGAUGGGUUUGAUGAAUUCAGCAUUCGACUGAGCUCCUGCAACCACCAGAUGCUCUUCCCUCCAACAGAAAGGUCAUCCCUGGCAAAGCCUACAAAAAUGAAGAUUAGGCUUUUAAAGGAAAGAAAAUCUUAGUUGGAGAUGAUGACUUUCACCCGAUUUUUUUUUCUUUUUAUUGCAGUGGAAAAUUUUAUUGCACAUAGAAAAUCAGAGUGCCUGUAGGACGAAUGAAUCCUUCUGGGCAACUUCUGAGUUCUCUUGCUGUUGUGUGCGAAAUGUGGUUCAACAAGGACUUGAAUACCAAUGCACUGCAUAUGUGCCUUAGGUGACCUCUUCAGAAUCCUGACCUAUUAUUUCUCUCAACUACUUGCCUGCCUUCCUAUAAAAGCAACCUAAUGGAAUUAAAGGGUUUUUUUUAAGCAGGUGUGUUAUUUUGAGUGAACUUCUGUUUAACUUCUGCCUUUUGGGAAAUGUUACUACCUUCAACAAUCAAAAAUUGUCUGGUAUAUGUAGUAAUUGUUUCACAAAUUUGUAAUUUUUCUCCUCCCCAGUUCACUCAAUGAAGUUGCAGUGGUUUGAAUUGGGUGUCCCGGAAAGACAUGUUGAAGCUCUAAUCUCCACUACCUGUGAAUGUGAUCUUAUUUGUAAAUAGCACAUUUGCUAUUGUAAGAAGGUAAGGAUCACAAGAAGAAAUUAACCUGGAUUCACAGUGAAUCCUCAAUUCAUUGACUGGUGUCUUCGUAAGAGGAAAGGACACACAGAGGCACAGAGAGAACCAUUGGAAGACAGAAACAGUAAGCAGGGUAAUGCAGUUCCAAGCACAGGAACACCAAGGGCAGCAAGGAUCAGAGCCACCAGCAUCUAGAAAGGGGCCAGGUUAGAUUCUCCCCCAGAACCUUCAGAAGCAGAAGUGCAUGGCUCUCACCUAUUUCUGAAGCCAGGUCUCUAAAACUGAGAGAACGCAU